GGGUCAUUAGGUUGGUCGUGCCACCGGUACGUACUGGUCUCACUGAUUCCUCCUUCCUGAAGAACCGUAAUGCCAUUAAUUUGGUGUUGCGGGGAAACAGGACUGUUACUUUGAAAAAAUUAGAGUGUUUAAAGCAAGCUAACGCUUGAAUACAUUAGCAUGGAAUAAUGAAAUAGGUCGAUCGAUCCUAUUUUGUUGGUUUCUAGGAUUGACGUA
rnacentral:rRNA from 1 species